AGAGAGAGACAUGCGCGCAUAUCAAUAAGCGGAGGAAAAGAAACUAACAAGGAUUCCCCUAGUAACGGCGAGUGAAGCGGGAAGAGCUCAAAUUUGAAAUCUUAAAGGGUUUCCCUUUACGAAUUGUAGUUUAAAGAAGUGUUUUCUGUUGAGGUUUUGGUAAAAGUUCUUUGGAAUAGGACAUCAUAGAGGGUGAGAAUCCCGUAUUUGACCUUUACUUUCAACUUUGUGAUACACUUUCAAAGAGUCGGAUUGUUUGGGAAUGCAGUCCAAAAUGGGUGGUAAAUUUCAUCUAAAGCUAAAUAUUGGCGAGAGACCGAUAGCGAACAAGUACCGUGAGGGAAAGAUGAAAAGAACUUUGAAAAGAGAGUUAAACAGUACGUGAAAUUGUCAAAAGGGAAGCGUUUGACACCAGUGUUGUUUUUCUGAAAAUCAAUUAAAGAACUGUUUAUGCUAAGCUGUUUAGACUUUAUCAGCUAACUGUUUAGUUUUGAGCUUUUCUUUAAUGCACUUUUCAGUUAACAAGUCAACAUCAAUUUCUUUUGCCUGUAAAAAAGCUUGAGGAAGGUGGCUUGAGAUUCGUCUUAAGUGUUUAUAGCCUCUUGCCUAUGCAGUCGGAGAGAUUGAGGUCUGCAGCGUAGAUCCUUCGGGGCUAAAUGCAUUUGUGCUAAGUUAUAGCAUUUUAUAGACAACUUGUUGACUAUGAUUUGUCUUGUAGCUUACUCGCUUAUGUUAUUUUACCUACGCUUAGGAUGUUGAGCGCAUGUCUCUCUCU
rnacentral:rRNA from 1 species